rnacentral:rRNA from 1 species
UACGAAGGGGGCUAGCGUUGUUCGGAAUUAUUGGGCGUAAAGGGCUCGUAGGCGGUCCGUCACGUCGGGAGUGAAAACUCAGGGCUUAACCCUGAGCCUGCUUCCGAUACGGGCAGACUAGAGGUAUGCAGGGGAGAACGGAAUUCCUGGUGUAGCGGUGAAAUGCGCAGAUAUCAGGAGGAACACCGGUGGCGAAGGCGGUUCUCUGGGCAUUACCUGACGCUGAGGAGCGAAAGUGUGGGGAGCGAACAGG